AGUUUGAUCCUGGCUCAGAUUGAACGCUGGCGGCAUGCCUUACACAUGCAAGUCGAACGGUAACAGGUCUUCGGACGCUGACGAGUGGCGAACGGGUGAGUAAUACAUCGGAACGUGCCCAGUCGUGGGGGAUAACUACUCGAAAGAGUAGCUAAUACCGCAUACGAUCUGAGGAUGAAAGCGGGGGACCUUCGGGCCUCGCGCGAUUGGAGCGGCCGAUGGCAGAUUAGGUAGUUGGUGGGAUAAAAGCUUACCAAGCCGACGAUCUGUGAGCUGGUCUGAGAGGACGACCAGCCACACUGGGACUGAGACACGGCCCAGACUCCUACGGGAGGCAGCAGUGGGGAAUUUUGGACAAUGGGCGAAAGCCUGAUCCAGCAAUGCCGCGUGCAGGAUGAAGGCCUUCGGGUUGUAAACUGCUUUUGUACGGAACGAAAAAGCUCCUUCUAAUACAGGGGGCCCAUGACGGUACCGUAAGAAUAAGCACCGGCUAACUACGUGCCAGCAGCCGCGGUAAUACGUAGGGUGCGAGCGUUAAUCGGAAUUACUGGGCGUAAAGCGUGCGCAGGCGGGUUAUGUAAGACAGAUGUGAAACUCCCCGGGCUCAACCUGGGAACUGCAUUUGUGACUGCAUGGCUAGAGUACGGUAGAGGGGGAUGGAAUUCCGCGUGUAGCAGUGAAAUGCGUAGAUAUGCGGAGGAGAAGAGAGGACGGAAGAGGGAAAA
rnacentral:rRNA from 1 species